AGGGUUUGAUUCUGGCUCAGGACGAACGCUGGCGGCGUGCCUAACACAUGCAAGUCGAGCGGAGACAUGUUGCGGAAGUUUUCGGAUGGAAGCGAUAUGUUUUAGCGGCGGACGGGUGAGUAACGCGUGAGCAACCUUUCCUUGACAGGGGGAUAACGUACCGAAAGGUACACUAAUACCGCAUAAGGCCACAGCACCGCAUGGUGCAGGGGUGAAAUGGAGCAAUCUGGUCAAGGGUGGGCUCGCGUCCGAUUAGCUAGUUGGUGAGGUGACGGCCCACCAAGGCGACGAUCGGUAGCCGACCUGAGAGGGUGAUCGGCCACAUUGGAACUGAGAUACGGUCCAA
rnacentral:rRNA from 1 species